CAGUACAACACUUAGCUGAGAAGAACUGGUGUCGAGUUUAGAACUGGUACUUGCACCCAGAUGGAGGAACUGAACACAGAGGUGAUCACCAGUGGACAACAGAUGCAGUGCAGCCAGACCAAAAUCACUUAGCUAGGACAUGCUGUUUCUGCUCUAAAGAUCAACCUGCAGGCUCAUCUUAGCACGGUGUGUAAUACUCAGAGCACUCACAAUACCUUUGACAUUUGUGAAAAUGAAUUAACAGAACGCUGCUCUGCAAAGCACCUUGGCAGAAACAGUAAUUCAUUCUAGCAACCAGCUGCCGGAGCUCCUGCGUCUGUUGAGCAAUGUAGAGGAAGAGCUAUCUGACCUUUGAUCUGGCAUAGAGCACCGAAAUUGUGAGUAAAUGGUCCUCUUGGAUGCCAAAUUGUGAGAUUCAACCUACUGCAUGAAGAGAACUGCAGUCAUUGGUGUCAGUAUAAAGCUCAGUAUUGCUAUCAUGGAGUAAGAUGGAGUAUAUUCUGUCUCGUGAACCAUCAGCGUCACUGCUAGCCAUGUUCUGACUCCACAGAGAGUAUGAAGCAGAAAGGCUGCAGUUUAACUUUCAUACACUAGACUUAACCCACAAAGCUGUCAGUCUCAGAAGUCCCAUUGAGCAGACUUGAUAUGAGUGUUAUCAGUGACAAGUUAUACUGGAUACCAAGAAGUCAUGUUUUCCCUU
rnacentral:lncRNA from 1 species